ACAAAGAAGAAAAAUGAAAAUUUUGCGGUUCCUUCUUCACAGGCAUUCGGUGUUUGGCCUCUCCCUCUUCUUCCGGGACUCAAGCUGUCGUCUGUGUGUACUGCUAACGCUCACCGUAAUUGAGCUGAAACAGAGCCCUAAAUCUCACCAAUUCGGAUUCCAUUCCCAUGUUCUUCGUCUCAAUUUUCGCUGUGAAGGUGAAGACUGCAGCCUGAACUUCGCUCCCACCUUUACCAGUAUGAGCCAACAUAAUGUGCAAAUUGUAGCACACUCAGGAGAUUCAGUCAUUUCAGAAGUAGAGCUUUGAUAAGGAUGGAGGCUGAAGUAGUAGAUGUGGAUGGGGGUGCAGGGGAUUAUCAGGACAGUGAAAAUGCUGGUUCUGACCGAACAGAACAACAGGAUGUAGGUGAAAAUUCUUCUGACAGGGAAGAAACUGCUCUGGGAAAUGAUGCCAGUGCUAAACCGUCAGUAGGCAUGGAGUUUGAAUCAGAAACUGCUGCCAAAAAAUUUUAUGAUGCUUACUCGAGGCGUAUUGGUUUUAGCACCCAUGCUGGUCAAUUCAGCCGUUCCAAGCCGGAUGGACCGAUUGUCAGCUGGGACUUUGCAUGUUCCAGAGAGGUUUUCAAGCGGAAAAACAUCGAGAGCUGCAACGCAAUGAUUAGAGUUGAGAGAAAAGAUACUGACAACUGGGUCGUGACAAAGUUUGCGGAAGAACAUAAUCACUCCAUUGUUACUCCCAGUAAGUUCCAUCAUCUUCGUCCUCGCAGGCAUUUUGCUGGUACCAUGAAAAACGUGACUGAAUCUGUGGAUGCCCGGAAUGAUGUGCAUGUUUCGAUUGACGGGAGUAAUGUCUCAUAUGAACCAAAUAAAGUAAUGAGGAGUAACUCUCCCGUUGGACCAACUCACCCAGUCAUGACCUUCAAUCCAGUUUUUUCUCAUUUUAACUACUUCAGACCUGGUUGUCAAAGGAGAACCCUUGAGCGUGAUGCUCAGAAUCUCCUUAAUUACUUUAGGAAAAUGCAAGCAGAAAAUCCCGGUUUUUUUUAUGCAAUCCAGCUAGAUGACGAUAAUCGUAUGACCAAUGUGUUUUGGGCUGAUGCAAGAUCAAGGGCAGCUUAUACCCAUUUUGGGGAUGCUGUGAUAUUUGAUACCAUCUACAGGCCAAAUCAUUAUCAAGUUCCAUUUGCUCCUUUUACUGGUACUAACCAUCAUGGUCAGAUGAUAUUGUUUGGUUGUGGGUUACUUUUAGAUGAGUCGGAGGCUUCCUUUACUUGGUUGUUCAGGACAUGGCUAUCAGCGAUGGAUGGUAAGCCCCCAGUUUCGAUAACAACAGACCAAGAUAGGGCAAUAAAGGUAGCCGUUACCCAGGUUUUCCCACAAACCCGGCAUUGCAUAUGCAAGUGGCAUAUAUUGAGGGAGGGCCAAGAAAGAUUAGCUCACAUAUACCUUGCUCAUCCCUCUUUCUAUGGAGAUCUGUACAGUUGCAUAAAUUUCUCAGAAACAAUUGAGGAUUUUGAAACAUCCUGGAGCUCCAUCCUUGAUAAAUAUGAUGUCCGCAAGAAUGAGUGGCUCCAAGCUGUGUAUAAUGCUCGGAAGCAAUGGGCUCCAGUAUAUUUUCGUGGAACUUUCUUCGCUGCAAUUUCUUCUAACCAUGGGGUUAGCUCAUUCUUUGAUGGCUAUGUGAAUCAGCAGACAACAGUUCCUAUGUUUUUUAAGCAGUAUGAAAGGGCUUUGGAGCACUCGCUGGAAAAGGAAAUAGAAGCUGAUUAUGAUACAAUCUGCUCAACUCCCGUACUGAAGACACCAUCACCAAUGGAACAACAGGCAGCAAACAUAUACACAAAGAAAAUCUUCGCAAAGUUUCAGGAGGAACUGGUUGAGACUUUUGUAUACACGGCAAACAAAAUUGAGGGUGAUGGGGUUGUCAGUAAAUUCAGGGUUGCGAAAUACGAACACGAUCACAAGGCAUUUAUUGUCACUCUGGAUGUUUCAGAAAUGAAAGCAAGUUGCAGCUGUCAGAUGUUUGAAUACUCAGGCGUACUCUGCAGACAUAUCCUAACAGUUUUUACAGUAACAAAUGUUCUCACUCUUCCAGGCCGUUAUAUAUUAAAGCGAUGGACAAGGAAUGCAAAAUCUGGGUCAGGAUUAGAAGAACAAAAUGCAGACCCACAUUCUAUAGAAACUCUUACCUCACGCUUCAAUAGUCUUUGUCGGGAGGCUAUUAAGUAUGCUGAGGAAGGGGCAGUUGCGCCAGAAACUUAUAGUGCUGCUUUAAGUGCUCUUAGUGAGAGUCUUAAAAGGAUCGUCAGCGUGAAGAAAAAUAUAGCAAAAAAUGGUCCUCCAAGUUCUCAGGGCAGUGGAAGUUCUCAGGAAGAGAGUGGCAAUAAAACCUCCUCAUCAGUUCCAGAGAUGGUCCCCCCUGCACUCUGGCCUUGGCAAGAGACUGCAGUCCCUCGCUUUAACCUUAAUGAUGUUGGAGUUCCAAUUGCUGAUCUGAACCAACCUAGCAUGGCACCUGUUUCUUUUCACCAUGAUAACAAUGUGGUUCUGACAUGUUUUAAGUCCAUGACUUGGGUAAUGGAGACAGCUAAUUCAACACCAGCUAGCAAAGUUGCCGUAAUAAACUUGAAGCUGGAAGACUAUCGCAAGAAUCCUCCUGGAGUGGAGGAGAUACAAUUCAGGUUAACGAGACUCACUUUGGAGCCUAUGUUGAGGUCCAUGGCCUAUAUCAGUCAACAACUCUCUGUACCGGCCAAUAGAGUUGCUGUCAUCAAUUUGAAGCUUCAAGAUACAAAGACAUCUUCUGGUGAAACAGAGGUGAAAUUUCAAGUUUCUCGAGAGACUUUGGGCUCAAUGCUGAAGUCAAUGGCCUACAUCCGGGAGCAGCUCUAGAAACUUUCAUGCAGGACUGAAGCUACCAGAAGGUGGGAGUUUAUUUGAACUCUGGGUUGGAUGGGAAAGGUGAGACCCGACUCAAGCUUCUGUUAUCCACCUGCUGGCUGGAAGAACUUCAGAACGCGUCGGCUCUGUUAGUAACGACUACAUUUCUCAGGCGGUUCCAUUGGAACAAGUAGAAGAAACUGCUAUUGUUAUAGAAGCUUCUCAUGUCGAUUUAAUCAAGAGUAAGGUUUGCUUCUCGGAGAUCUGUCAUGUAACCGACUCAACCCCUCCUAUUGAUCGUGAUCACAUUCAGUUGCCUAAAACAUGAUUACUUAUGAACAAUGUGUGAGGAACAAAAUUUCUUUUGAUUGCUUUGAUUAUUGGUGUGACGAAAAAAGGAAGUAAAUCCCAUCUUCUGAAUCUACUGGGGCCGAAGAGACGAGAGGACAACGUCUUGGAGGGAGCUGUCUCUCUGCAUAGCGGCCUUGAACUCCUCGAAGGUGACUUUUCCAUCACUGUUUGCGUCCAUCAGGUCAAACAUCUCAUCCAGCUUCCCUGGCUCCGUUAUGUCUACUGGUAGGCACUCCUCCGGCAAUGCCUGCUCGAACAGGUCAAGAGAUUAUCGUCCCAACAUGGUCUAACAGAAUCAAGAAAACAAUUAUUCUCUCUCUCUUUUUAUUUUUUUAUAACAGUUAUUCUUAUUCUUACUCAACUUGACCAUAUGUUACUUGAAUUUCGGAUAA